rnacentral:rRNA from 1 species
AUUGAACGCUGGCGGCAGGCCUAACACAUGCAAGUCGAACGAGUGGCGGACGGGUGAGUAAUGUCUGGGAAACUGCCUGAUGGAGGGGGAUAACUACUGGAAACGGUAGCUAAUACCGCAUACCAUCAGAUGUGCCCAGCUUGGAUUAGCUUGUUGGUGGGUUAACGGCGUACCAAGGCGACGAUCCCUAGCUGGUCUGAGAGGAUGACCAGCAACACGGGAACUGAGACACGGCCCAGACUCCUACGGGAGGCAGCAGUGGGGAAUAUUGCACAAUGGGCGAAAGUCUGAUGCAGCCAUGCCGCGUGUAUGAAGAAGGCCUUCGGGUUGUAAAGUACUUUCAGCGGGGAGGCGUUACCCGCAGAAGAAGCACCGGCUAACUCCGUGCCAGCAGCCGCGGUAAUUC